rnacentral:rRNA from 1 species
CCUACGGGGGGCAGCAGUAGGGAAUAUUGCUCAAUGGGGGGGACCCUGAAGCAGCAACGCCGCGUGGAGGAUGAAGGUUUUCGGAUUUUAAACUCCUUUUGUUAGAGAAGAUAAUGACGGUAUCUAACGAAUAAGCACCGGCUAACUCCGUGCCAGCAGCCGCGGUAAUCCGGAGGGUGCAAGCGUUAAUCGGAAUCACUGGGCGUAAAGAGCGCGUAGGCGGGAUAGCAAGUCAGAUGGGAAAUCCUAUGGCUUAACCAUAGAACUGCAUUUGAAACUGUUAUUCUAGAGUAUGGGAGAGGUAGGUGGAAUGCGUGGUGUAGGGGUAAAAUCCGUAGAGAUCAAGAGGAAUACUCAUUGCGAAGGCGACCUGCUAGAACAUAACUGACGCUGAUGCGCGAAAGCGUGGGGAGCAAACAGGAUUAGAUACCCGAGUAGUC